rnacentral:rRNA from 1 species
GUAAAGUGGCGCACGGGUGAGUAACGCGUGGGCAAUCUGCCUUCAAAUCGGGGAUAACCCCGCGAAAGCGGGGCUAAUACCGGAUGACAUCUCUAGCUCUCCGGAGCGUGAGAUCAAAGAUGGCCUCUACAUGUAAGCUGUCGUUUGGAGAUGAGCUCGCGUACCAUUAGCUUGUUGGUAGGGUAAUGGCCUACCAAGGCGACGAUGGUUAGCUGGUCUGAGAGGAUGAUCAGCCACACUGGAACUGACACACGGUCCAGACUCCUACGGGAGGCAGCAGUGAGGAAUUUUGCGCAAUGGGGGAAACCCUGACGCAGCAACGCCGCGUGAGUGAUGAAGGCCUUCGGGUCGUAAAGCUCUGUCAAGUGGGAAGAAAAUACCGCAAGCCAAUACCGUGCGGUACUGACGGUACCACUGAAGGAAGCACCGGCUAACUCCGUGCCAGCAGCCGCGGUAAUACGGGGGGUGCAAGCGUUAUUCGGAUUUAUUGGGCGUAAAGGGCGCGUAGGCGGUCCUCUAAGUCAGAUGUGAAAGCCCGGGGCUCAACCCCGGAAGUGCAUUUGAAACUAAAGGACUUGAGUAUGGGAGAGGGAAGUGGAAUUCCUGGUGUAGAGGUGAAAUUCGUAGAUAUCAGGAGGAACACCGGUGGCGAAGGCGACUUCCUGGACCAAUACUGACGCUGAGGCGCGAAGGCGUGGGGAGCAAACAGGAUUAGAUACCCUGGUAGUCCACGCAGUAAACGUUG